CAACGUUCUCAGGGCGGGGUGGAAUUCCCCACCGGCGGUAAUGGCGGAUUCUGCCUAGCCCGCGAGCGCUCGUUUCGGCGAGGUCAGCAGACCCGGUGCGAUUCCGGGGCCGACGGUAUAGUCCGGAUAAAGAGAGAGCGGGA
rnacentral:ncRNA from 2 species